AUUUUUGAUUUCAUUAACAUAGUCUGGAAAAAUGACAAGUGGUUAGAUGUGUAAGUCAAGAGUACCAAUGCAUACAUGCUAAACUUACAAUAUGAUGGUGCUGAAGAAACAGUUCUUACUACUUCAUCCCCUGAUAUAAAUUUUGGGAACAAGUAAAAAAGGCUUGGCAGAUAGAGAACAGUGAUUACAAGUUACCUGCAAUAUGUACCAAGCCAAGAAAAGUGGGUCAUCUUUGGAUGCCAACCAUUUAAUGUUGAAU